GGGGGCGACAUGGUUUCGACGGGGGAACUAGAUGGCAUGAGGAGCGAGCCGGGGUUGCUGCUAGCCCGUAAAACGGUGGCAAAGGCUUAACUGCCGACAAACACGAAUACGCUCUGGCUGCCUAGGUAGCCAGCAUCCUGCCUGCUUCAGCCUGCGUAGCAGGGUCAGGGU
rnacentral:tmRNA from 1 species